UAAUGUAUUGAUGCAGACUCAUUAAAAAAUGCUGAUUACCGAUGUAAUUUUCGAUGAAUAUGCUAUAUUAGUGAUUAGGGAUUUACGCCCAUGAGUACACCAGAGGUUCUAUAGGGCGGUUUCCCAGACAGGGAUUAAAUAAAGUCAGAACUAGCCUAAUUCUUCUUAAAUUAAUUCAGAAUUUUUUUUUUAAAAAAAGGCUUUUUAAGACACUACUUAAGUUGAGAUUUAUUAGUUGUAUAUUAGAGAGUGACAGACUAAGCUAAAUUAGGACUAACAGGCUACUCUUUGUGAAGCCUGAUUAUAUUAAUGACUAGAACAUAGUGAUUACCUGAGGAAACUUCAAAAACCAGGGAUGGAAUCUUAAAACAUAUUAGCAUUGUGUGGAACUGGAGUAAAUCAUUAAACCAAACAAUGGACAAAGGUAAAAGGAAACGUUCAAAAAAUUUCUGUGAAUUUGAAAAACAUUUAUUGAAGCACAUUGUGUCAAACCACCCAAUUAUUGAGAAGAAACAGCAUGAUUCAUCAACAGAAAGCAAGAAAAAGAUUUUGCCUGGAGUAAAAUUUGUACUGAAUGAAAAAGUAAGCCAAAGGACAGUCCAGCAACUUCAGAUCCUCUGGAAAAACAUAAAGAUUAAAUUAAAGAAUACAAUUGCUGCUGCUCGUAUGGGAUCAUUUCAAGACUGGUGGUGGACCCCCGGAAAGACCAGUGACGGAUGACAUGGGAGACUUGUUGAGUGCCCUUAUUGAUAGCCAGCAAACCCAGGAAGGUAUCCCAGAUGAUGACCAUAUGGACAGUUCAGAUGGGGCACCUGUCCAAUCUUCAUUUGAUGGCCAUGUAAGCUUGGAGGGCCAGAGAGAGGGUACAUGUCAGCCCACUACAUCUGAGGCAGCCAGGAGGGGAGAUGGUGUCGCUAAUCUGGGCCGAAAGACCAAGAGACAGACCAUACAUGAGAAACUGCCCAUGGACUAUCAUGAGCACAAAUUAAAGUAUUUAAAAGAAGAACAUGAAAUAAAUGAUGAAAAUCCUUCAUAUUGAGUUGGCUUUGAAGGAGGAGGAGGAGGAGAGAAACCUGAAGCAGCAACAAAUGUUGUCCAGUUCUGGGUUCUGAAAUUUCCUUUGCUUAAAUAAAAAUAAUCUUGAAACCAAUACAGGGCAACUGUUGUCAUAAUUCAUUGUCUUUGUGAAAAAUGCUGCAAAGCAAAAACAUCUCUGUAGGCUAGUCCAUAUCUGUCUUUGUUGGCUACAACAAUGGGAAUAUCUGUCAAACUGUCAUCUUUCAUUUCAGGAUCUGGCCAGCCAUGUUGUUUAAUGUAAUUGUGAAGCACUGCUGCAGCAAUUAUCACAAUACAGCAUCUUCUUGGUUCACAGCGCAGUGUGCAUCUGAGACACUGGAAACGACUCUUCCAUACACCAAACAUGCGCUCCACUAUACCUCUAGUGCGGAUGUGUGCUUGGUUGUACCCCUGUUGCUCUGGUGUGACUGCAUGAAGAUACGGGAUGAACAAGAAGUUGUUCUGUGCAUACCCACUGUCACCAAGUAUGAUUCCACUAUAUUGUCCUCUUUCCAAAUGAGCAUACAAAGAGGAAUUUUGGAAAAUCCUUGAGUCAUGAGUUGCACCUUUCCAGCGUGCAACAAUGUUGGAGAACUGCAUAGUUGGAGUGCACACACCUUACACAUUUAUUGAGAACCGGUUUUUACGAUUCCCGUACUCUUCAGCAUCUGGUGUAGAGGGACGCUUUAUGGGAAUAUGACACCCAUCGAUGCAGUCAAUGACUCCAGGGAAAUUGGCAUAUUCAUAGAACUGCACCUUGUAGAUGGCUUGGGUAGCAGCAUCAGGGAACUUGAUGUAGUCAUCUUUUAGUUUACAUAUAGCAUUGCAGACUUUGUGGACUAUUUUGCACACGGUUCACUCACACCACACAAAUCUCCUGUUUCACGAUAGAAUGUUCCACAUGCCAAAAACCUCAAGGUAAUCAGAAUUUGUAAGGAAGGAGGGAUAGGCCUUCCCCUUAAAGAGUGAGAUGAAAGCCUUGGUUCAAGCAAAAUAAUUAUGUCAGCUACAUUUUGUUUG